rnacentral:tRNA from 1 species
GUAAUAGCUUAGUUGGUAGGGCUGCGGACUAAUAAUCAUCCAAGAAAAUGUCACGGGUUCAAAUCAACCUAUGUCC